rnacentral:misc_RNA from 1 species
UCCCUUUGCUCUUCUUCAAUUUCAUCAGGGUCAUACGCAGACCUCUUUCCACCACCCAAAGUCUGGACUGAUUCCAUCACUUCCACAUAGAACUGCACAUCUUUGGUCUUCUUGUUCCCCACCAUGAUAUGAUUGUGAAGGUGGAAGUGGAGAAGAGUGAUCAUCUCCCUCUCUGCAGGCUGGAAAAAUGCAUGUUUAAUGUUUACAAACAUAACAUCCACACGCUCAUCAUUUCUACUAGUUGAAAAUCUAAAGCCAUUUACAUGAGCUUCCAGAGAACCAGGGAGUUUUCUACCACGGCCACCAAAUGCCGGACGGAUCCAAAGGUCCGCCAAUCUUAUUGGCUUGAAUCUAUUCCCAGCAAGCUGAAGUUUCUCCUGAGUAACCAAGGUUGCCCUCUCAGCCCUCUCAGACUCCCUAGCCACAACAUGCCGUCUAAGUGUCUUAAUCUGCUGUACCACUUCACUGAUGUGCCUAGGGUCCUUGGACCGAAAUGAAACCUCCUUCAGGUAAAUAGCCCCCGAGUACUUCAGUGAAUUCGCAUCAUGUGGAUUAAAAGGAGUUCCUGGCACGUUAAAUAUAAUGCGAAUAUAGCAAUUUCUGUUGGUGUC